AGGAGAACCGGGUUAGGUCGUGUUUUUGGAAUGGGGACAGCAGAGGGGUAAGAUGUAACUGCUAGAGUUUCCCAGUAUCAUGGAAGCUCCACAAGGAUUUGCCACCAGAGGAAUCAGAUUUUAAUAAGGCUUGCAAGACUAGGUUUUAGUUGUUGUACCCAGAGACUGAGUUACCACUGUUUCUGAACUAAGUUUGUAUUGCAUUUUCCUUCACACGGCAGCUCAAUAGAGAAAGCCAGCCCGGAGACACCCGGCAACAAUGAGACCAACAGACACCUUCAUGGUCAUCCCUGAGGGAACUCGGUGACAAGACACAUCAUCGCUAGCUGUCCAGAGGGAACACAUCCCAUUGUCAACUCUGUUGCAUGUCCUCCUGCACAUGGACCACAAUCCCACAAAAGUCGGGCUUUCCCUCCCCACCCCCUUGCCUUCUUCCCCUUCUCCACCCAGGGACAACUUCUGUUUCUCAUUACCCCCUCCCUUUAAUAAACCUCCUACGUGACACGG